rnacentral:rRNA from 1 species
UCAUUACCGAGUUUACAACUCCCAAACCCCUGUGAACAUACCUUAAUGUUGCCUCGGCGGAUCAGCCCGCGCCCCGUAAAACGGGACGGCCCGCCAGAGGACCCAAACUCUAAUGUUUCUUAUUGUAACUUCUGAGUAAAACAAACAAAUAAAUCAAAACUUUCAACAACGGAUCUCUUGGUUCUGGCAUCGAUGAAGAACGCAGCAAAAUGCGAUAAGUAAUGUGAAUUGCAGAAUUCAGUGAAUCAUCGAAUCUUUGAACGCACAUUGCGCCCGCUGGUAUUCCGGCGGGCAUGCCUGUUCGAGCGUCAUUUCAACCCUCAAGCCCUCGGGUUUGGUGUUGGGGAUCGGCUCUGCCUUCUGGCGGUGCCGCCCCCGAAAUACAUUGGCGGUCUCGCUGCAGCCUCCAUUGCGUAGUAGCUAACACCUCGCAACUGGAACGCGGCGCGGCCAUGCCGUAAAACCCCAACUUCUGAAUGUUGACCUC